ensembl:lncRNA
AAGAGAUGGGAGGAGGAGUGGAUGGAGAGGAUGGUGAUGAUGAUGAUGAUGAUGAUUGUGGUGAUGGUGGGGGUGAUGAAGAGAUGGGAGGAGGACAGGAUGGUGGACUCAUACUGCGUCAUUGCUUUCUCAGCUGCUGAGCUGCACUUCUCCUCCUCCUCCUCCUCCUUCACUCUUUCCUUCUCUCCUCUCUGCGAGCGGCACAUGAACCGAUACAGCCAGACAGAUUAAACUCACAGAUAUUCACACAGCAGAAAGGUGAGUCAGACUCUGUCAGGAUUAACCGAAAUCUUAUCACGUUCUUACGUAUAGCUAAAAAAUUAUAAGCUCUAAAAUGGACAUGAUGUGUUUUUGGAGAAACCGAGCUGAGAUGCUGCAGAGAGUGAUCAUUACUGUCGGAAAAUAAAAUCUUUGUAUUGUCCUACAUCUAGUGUCUCAUUUGAGCCUAAGAACAUUGCAAUAUUUUAGCACAUUGUACCAUUUACCAUUAUUUACGAACAACAGUUCCGUUCCAUUUUUAAGUGAACAGCAUUCUGGGAUGGCAUUUUUUCGAGUAAAGCAAGUAUGUGCAAUGCUAUUUUUUUGUUUGUUUGUUUUUUUGUUGCAAUUUUUAAAAAAACAAUUAUUUUGAGAUACCAAAAAGUAAUUUCCAAUGUUACAUGUAGCUACUUAAUGCAAACACGUUUGACAGCUAGCAUAAACAGGUCACUAGCUAGCAUUUAUCAUGUUAGUUAAGCAAUUUUAGUUGUAAUGCAAUGAAGGUAAACUUUUCAUUUGACAAUAAUUGUUAUUAUUUAUUUAUACUAUUUAUUCUUCUUCUUCUUAUAAUUAUUGUUAUACUAUUUAUAUUAACAGCUUUAGCUACAAUUAGACAACUGUUAUUAUGGUUCCCUUUUAGCUACAAUUAUACAGUCACUACCAUGGUUACUUAUGCUACACUGGUUACUAUGGUUAUGCUUCAGUUACAAUUAUACAAUUGUUACUAUGGUUACCUUUCAGCUACAGUAAUAGAGAUACAUAUAAUCGUUUCAGAAGCUGUUAUCUUGUUCCUUUGUAUUUUUAAUUGAAAACAUUUCCAUAGACUUGUAGCAUAUGCAUCAUUCCUUUCUAUGUAUUUACAAUUAUUAGUUUAAUAUUGAGGCCAUUUUAUGUAGUAGUGCAACAGCAACAAUAAAUAUCAAGGUCUUGCCUACAUUGCUAUUUCUAAUCGUUGUCAUGGUGACAUCCCAACACGGUCAUGCCAUCACAUCAUGACCGAACUGAAUGCUGGCACAGAAUUCUUCAUUCUCUAGAAAUGUCCUUCAUCUAGCUGAUUGUUGAACAUGGUGUAUGUCCUUCUUUGUCCUGUACUUCUUAUAAUAUCCCAGAAUCCAGUGCAUCAGACAUCAGCCUGUAAAAAAGCAGUUUAUUGAGUUAUUUGUAAUUAUUUUUCACUUAAGAUUUUAUUUCUACUCACUUUGUGUUCGCCAGCGACACUUUAUUCCUUCUCGUCUAAUGGACUUGGCCAACAUAAGCGAUGUAUGUAUGCUGCCUUCAAAGCCCAUCUCAAACCACUUUUAAGACACUUAUGAGACAUCAUGGCAUUGUGAUUCCUCUUUCAGUACAUAAAUAACUGUAAAUACUGAUUGUUGCCUGACACACCUACAUAAGUGUUAUUCUGUUCUGGGGAGCAAUUGGGAGAAAAUCAGGGAGCAGGAGAACAAAUAGUGGACUAGUAGGUUUCAAAUUGUUGACAGCUUUUUUGUAAAUAUCCGUCACUUAGGACUCGUUCUAUGUUGGGUUUUCCAAAAGCAGAUUCAAAUAACACACUGAUUACUUAUUUCUGCUUUCAACUAUGAGUCAUCCCUACUGACAAAGGGGAAAAAAAACAGAUAGGUUUGUGUUUGGAGUAAAAUAAAACCAGCCAAAGAUCAGUGGUGCUCCUGCGGUGGUUCCUUUCCAGUGAUGCAUGAGGUAGGAGGGUGCCAAUACGUCUUCUUUUCUUUUUUUUUUGAGAAACAGAUGGAUUAAAUCUAAAGAUGUGUAUGUUGUAAACAAACCAAAUGUGCUUCAUUUCCAUCUCUGUUAAAAACGUCUUGAGGUGUGCAGUUUGUUCCCUGUGCUGCUUUCUCUGUGUUGAAUUUUGUAUGAGGUUGUUACGCCAUGGCUCAGCGGACACAACGCUCUUGUCUGUGGAUGUGACAUCCACUUCUGUUAAAAAAAUAUGAUUUUGUGACGUACCGGUAUAUAUAGCGUGUACAAUUGUUCAGGCAUCUAUAUAAAUACUAUAUACACACCAUUUAAACCACACGUCUGGAUGGAGCUCAUCGACUGGAGGCUAGAGCCUGGAGAUUGUUGAGGAUGGUACCGCUUGAAGUACCAUGGAAAUGGUUUUGGCCUCAAUUCCACAUGGAUGUUCUUGUUGUGGUUGCUGGGACUAUCGUUGCUGCGAUGGCCUUGGGACUGUGAUUACCACAUGCAGUUUUACACUCAGGUCUCCUUUAGAGAACAGUGGACUAAUUCAACAAAACAGACUUCAUGUAAAACUCAUAAUGAACUUUAUUUUACUUUCACACUAUCCGUUGUGACCCAGAUGAGGACGGGUUCUCUUCUGAGUCUGGUUCCUCUCAAGGUUUCUUCCUCUUAACAGCUUAGGGAGUUUUUCCUCACCACCAUCACCACCGGCUUGCUCAAUAGGGAUAAAUUCACACUCUUAAAAUCUCUAUCCUGUGUUUAUAUAUUUCUGUAAAGCUCCUUUGAAACAAUGUCCAUUGUUAAAAGCACUAUAAAAAUAAAAUUUAAUUCAACUGAAUUUAAAUGAAUUAAAGGGAAAGCCUGAAACACAUGAAAUCUGUGUAUACUGGAUUAAUUGUGAUGUGUUAGCGAUUCUGCUCACUCACUGUAUUCCAGCACCGUACAGCGUCAUUUCUCUCUAAUGAGAAAUCCAGUGCAGAAGUAGUGGAGACGGAGGAAACGCUGGACCUAUAGUCCCAGAAUGCAAUGUGUCUGAGUUACUGCACAAACAUGGCUAGUUAGCACCGUAUAUAGCAUUGAAAGUGGUAUUAGCGAGAACGUUGAAGCUGAGAGUGCAGAUGAGGAGGUGAACGAGCUGGACAGACUAAAGGACUAAAGACCAUCAGAAAUUCAUUGGGAAUUAAAUCUUGGGGUAUUUUUCGGUCGUAAGCAUACAACUGAAGGUAGUACCAUACGUGAUAUCGGAUGAUUAUAUUUAUUUAUAUAUAUUUCUAUGUAAUGGUGCAUUGUGAGAAGAGGGGAAACCAUAGCAAAGGAACUACAGUAUCUCUCAAAAGUGAGUACACUCCUCACAUUUUUGGAAAUAUUUGAUUAGAUCUUUUCAUGUGACAACACUGAAGAAAUGACACUUUGCUACAAUGUAAAGUAGUGAGUGUACAGCUUGUAUAACCGGGUAAAUUUGCUGUCCCCUCAAAAUAACUCAACACACAGCCAUUAUUAUCUAAAUCUCUGGCAACAAAAGUGAGUACACCCCUAAGUGAAAAUGUCCAAAUUCUGCCCAAAGUGUCAAUAUUUUAUGUGGCCACCAUUAUUUUCCAGCACUGCCUUAACCCUCUUGGGCAUGGAAUUCACCAGAGCUUCACAGGUUGCCAUUGGAGUCCUCUUUCACUCCUCCAUGAUGACAUCAGGGAGCUGGUGGAUGUUAGAGACCUUGUGCUUCUCCACCUUCCGUUUGAGGAUUCCCCACAGAUGCUCAAUAGGGUUUAGUCCAUCACCUUCACCCUCAGCUUCUUCAGCAAGGCAGUGGUUAUCUUGGAUUUGUGUUUGGGUUCGUUAUCAUGCUGGACUGCAUGCGUAUCAUGCUCUGCUUCAGUUUGUCACAGUACAUGUUGGCAUUCAUGGUUCCCUCAAUGAACUGUAGCUCCCCAGUGCCGGCAGCACUCAUGCAGCCCCAGACCAUGACACUCCCACCACCAUGCUUGACUGUAGGCAAGACACACUUGUCUUUGUACUCCUCACCUGGUUGCCACCACACACGCUUGACACCAUCUGAACCAAAUAAGUUUAUCUUGGUCUCAUCAGACCACAGGACAUGGUUCCAGUAAUCCGUGUCCUUAGUCUGCUUGUCUUCAGCAAACUGUUUCUGAGGACUUUCUUGUGCACCAUCUUUAGAAGAGGCUUCCUUCUGGGAUGACAGCCAUGCAGACCAAUUUGAUGC